rnacentral:misc_RNA from 1 species
CCUAGAGUUGUAGGCUUUGCCUGCUAUCUCUUACCCAUGUCUUUUGAGUACCUUACGUUUCCUCGGUGGGUUCGCCCACCGAUUGGACAAAUUUAAACCCUUUGCAGUUGAAAUCAGCGUCUGAAAGACUUAAUAGUUA